GGCUGGCAUCCUUCGGGGUUACAGCCUUGCUGAAUUAUUCACCCGUGUCUUUUGCGUACUUCUUGUUUCCUUGGUGGGUUCGCCCACCAUAGGACAAACCAUAAACCUUUUGUAAUUGCAAUCAGCGUCAGUAAAAAAAAUUAAUAAUUACAACUUUUAACAACGGAUCUCUUGGUUCUGGCAUCGAUGAAGAACGCAGCGAAAUGCGAUAAGUAGUGUGAAUUGCAGAAUUCAGUGAAUCAUCGAAUCUUUGAACGCACAUUGCGCCCUUUGGUAUUCCAAAGGGCAUGCCUGUUCGAGCGUCAUUUGUACCCUCAAGCUUUGCUUGGUGUUGGGCGUCUUGUCUCCAGUUCGCUGGAGACUCGCCUUAAAGUAAUUGGCAGCCGGCCUACUGGUUUCGGAGCGCAGCACAAGUCGCGCUCUCUUCCAGCCAAGGUCAGCAUCCACAAAGCCUUUUUUCAACUUUUGACCUCGGAUCAGGUAGGGAUACCCGCUGAACUUAAGCAUAUCAAUA
rnacentral:rRNA from 1 species